rfam:Schistosoma mattheei strain Denwood, Zambia genome assembly, scaffold: SMTD_scaffold0004227
AUCCAACUGACAAAUCCCGAAUAGGACGAAACACGUGCCUUGGAU